rnacentral:rRNA from 1 species
UGGGGAAUAUUGCACAAUGGGCGCAAGCCUGAUGCAGCCAUGCCGCGUGUGUGAAGAAGGCCUUCGGGUUGUAAAGCACUUUCAGCGAGGAGGAAGGUGGUGAGCUUAAUACGCUCAUCAAUUGACGUUACUCGCAGAAGAAGCACCGGCUAACUCCGUGCCAGCAGCCGCGGUAAUACGGAGGGUGCAAGCGUUAAUCGGAAUUACUGGGCGUAAAGCGCACGCAGGCGGUUUGUUAAGUCAGAUGUGAAAUCCCCGGGCUCAACCUGGGAACUGCAUUUGAAACUGGCAAGCUAGAGUCUCGUAGAGGGGGGUAGAAUUCCAGGUGUAGCGGUGAAAUGCGUAGAGAUCUGGAGGAAUACCGGUGGCGAAGGCGGCCCCCUGGACGAAGACUGACGCUCAGGUGCGAAAGCGUGGAGAGCAAAACAGGAUUAGAUACCCUGGUAGUCCACGCUGUAAAACGAUGUCGAUUUUGGAGGUUGUGCCCUUGAGGCGUGGCUUCCGGAGCUAACGCGUUAAAUCGACCGCCUGGGGAGUACGGCCGC